CCCGGCGACCGGCGCACGGUGAGUAACACGUAUGCAACCUGGCCGCCACAGGGGGAUAACCCGCGGAAACGCGGCCUAAUACCCCGUGACGCCACCGGAGGGCAUCCUCCGGUGGCCAAAGGAGCGAUCCGGUGGCGGAUGGGCAUGCGGCGCAUUAGCUAGACGGCGGGGUGACGGCCCACCGUGGCGACGAUGCGUAGGGGUUCUGAGAGGAAGGUCCCCCACACUGGUACUGAGACACGGACCAGACUCCUACGGGAGGCAGCAG
rnacentral:rRNA from 1 species